rnacentral:rRNA from 1 species
GUCUAUGGCUAUACCACCCUGAAUGCACCUGAUCUCGUCUGAUCUCAGAAGCUAAGCAGGGCCGGGCCUGGUUGGUACUUGGAUGGAAGACUUUAAGGUCAGCCUGGGCUACAUAGUGA